rnacentral:lncRNA from 1 species
ACGAAGGGAGUAGCAACGGAAGAAGUAACAGCGAUGAUCAUACUAGUGAACAAGAAGACCUGCUAAACCUUUUUAAAACUCCAAGUGUUGAAAAGUUGUUAAUAUUAUUAAAAAAAUAUAUACCAAACAUGCACAAUAUUCUUACACCUUAUACCAAAAUAAAUAAUGCGCGUUAUAUUUCAGUACUAACUAAAAAAAACGAAAAAGGGAAAUGCUGUUUAUGUUUUUUAGAUCAUAAAACUAACACCUUUAACAUUUUUAAUAUAAAAAAAAAAAAAAAAAAAAAAAAAAAAAAAAAAACUAACAAAUUAAAAAAAAAAAACAAUAAGUUAAAAAAAAAAACAUAUACGACAACAAAAAAUCAGUGUAUAAUAGUCUACCCGUAUAUUAACCUAAACAAUAUAACAAUAAAGAACUCGAACGAUUUAAGUUCUGAACAAAUAGCUAAUUGUAAAAAUUAUUUAAAAAAUAAAUAUAAAACAAAUUUCCCUAUUUUGUUUUUAUCUAGUUAUAAAGGAAAGUUAAAUAUACAUAAAUUAAGAAGAGAGAAUUUAAAAUAUAUUUUACCUAAUAAUAAUAUAUAUAACAAUAUAGAAAAUGUAAAUUCGUUUAGUAAAAAAAAUUAUAAUGAAAAAAAUAUAAUUGGAGGUUUGGAUAGUAGUGAUACAUGUAGUAUUAGUGAAAAUGUAAAUUACAAUAAAGAUAUCAAUAGUAAUACAAAACUGAAAACGGUAAAAGGUAUUAUACAAAUUGGGAAAAAUGAUUAUUUUAUUUUUACAAAUAAUUAUUUUCAUAUAUUUAAUAUAGCCACAGAUAAAUAUAAUUAUAUUGAUUUUUCACAUAUUAGUAAUAUAAAAUUAAAACAUAAUAUAACAAAUACAAUUAAUAAUUCUUGUUCAUUUUUAUCUAAAUGUUUAUAUAGUAAUAAAAAUUGUAUACAAACACAAACAGUAAAUUUUAAUAGUCUUUUAUAUUUUAAAACUUACAAUUUUAAUCAACUUUCGUUUAAUGACGAUUUUAUUUCAAAAACAUUCAUGACGUAUCCAUAUAUUUACAAAAUAUGUAUUUCACAAUCAGAUUAUUUAAUCAAAAUUGAUAUAAAAAAGAAAACAACAAAUAAAAGUAAUCGGGAAAAUCAAAAAAAUCGGGAAAAUCAAAAAAAUUGGGAAAAUCAAAAAAAUUGGGAAAAUCAAAAAAAUUGGGAAAAUNNNNNNNNNNAUUGGGAAAAUCAAAAAAAUUGGGAAAAUCAAAAAAAUUGGGAAAAUAAAACAAAUAGGGAAAAUUGGCAAAGUGAGAACAAAGAAGAUAUAAAAAAAAGUUUUACAAAUGUAGUUUCUAAUGAUGUGGAAAAUAUAAAAAUAAAAAAUGAGAAUAAAUAUAUGAACGGUUCAGAAAAAGUGGAACAUAAUAUAAUAAACAAUAAUUUGGAUAAUAUUAGUAACAGUUCCGAUAAUUAUAGUAGUACUGAUGAAGAAGACCCUAAAGAACAAUAUCGAGUGAAAAUCGGAAAGGUUAUCUGUUUAAUUGUUCGAAUUAAAUAUGAUGAAUAUUAUUGUUUAAAAAAAUUAUUAAAAAAAAGAAUGAACAUUCAGAAAGAUGAAAUUAAAAAUAAUACACUCUAUGCAAAUGAAAAGGUACAAGGUAUACCAAAUCCUUAUUUAGAUUAUUGCAUAAAUAAUCAAUAUACACAUAAAAUGAAAAAAAUGUUAUUAACGGUUAAUAAUAUUGAUGAAACUAUAACAGCAGCAACAUCAACAACAGCAGCAGCAACAACGACAACACCACCACCAACAACAACAACAACAACAACAACAACAACAACUACAGAAAAUAAUAUACAACGUAAUGAAAAAUUAAUUAGAAAAAAUAAUAAAUUAAUUCAAUCUGUUAAAGCAAAUGCAAAAUAUUAUAAACUGUUAUUAUUACAUGAACAUAGUAAAAAAGAAUUUGGGUAUUAUAUUUUUGAACACAGUGAAGAGGUACAAUGUAUAUCUUUUGGUUACCUUAAUAAUAAAGAAUAUAUUUAUAUAGGGACAAGUUUAAAUAUUAAUGAAAGAAUAGAAACACAAGGUAAUAUUUAUAUUCUCGAUUUUAGUAACAUUUUUAUAAAGUAUGAUGAACAUAUAAAUAUGCAUGAUUUAUUUGUGGAUGUUUUUAAGGAUGAAAAAAAANNNNNNNNNNCAAAUGAAAGCACAGUAAAUGAGAACACAGUAAAUGGGCCCAAUGAAAGAGCCAUUGAAAGAGGCAUUGAUACUGAUACAAAAUUUGAUAACAAUGACAAUGGCAACAGUGUGAUGAUAUAUACUGCAAGAGAUACCCAAAAUAAUAAUUAUAGUGAAAACAGUCUAAAUAAACAGGAAGUUAAUAAAGAGGAUAAAAAAAAAAAAAAGUGUUAA